AUUGAACGCUGGCGGCAGGCCUAACACAUGCAAGUCGAACGAGUGGGGGACGGGUGAGUAAUGUCUGGGAAACUGCCUGAUGGAGGGGGAUAACUACUGGAAACGGUCGCUAAUACCGCAUACCAUCAGAUGUGCCCAGAUGGGAUUAGCUUGUAGGUGGGGGAAAGGCUCCUCCAGGCGAAGAUCCCUAGCUGGUCUGAGAGGAUGACCAGCCACACUGGAACCGAGAAACGGUCCAGACUCCUCAGGGAGGCAGGAGGGGGGAAUAUUGCAAAAUGGGCGCAAGCCUGAUGCAGCCAAUGCGGGUGGAUGAAGAAGGCCCUCGGGUGUUAAAGUACUUUCAGCGGGGGGGAGUUACCCCCAGGAGAAGCACCGGGUAACUCCGGGCCAGCAGCCGCGGUUAUAU
rnacentral:rRNA from 1 species